UUGUGCCUCCUGGUUGCUGAGUGUUCACCUGGACCACCUUCCUUAUGCUAUUCCAUCAGUCUGCAGAUCUGAUACCUGAAUUUUACCCAUGAUUGAGUCCUACUACCUAACUACUGAAGAAGACACCAUUCCUGUGGACCACUGUGACCCAAGAGGCAUUCAGCCAUUAUGAUGUGGCCUUCACCUCCACUCCUUUCCUGUUCUAUCCAGAUUCAGCACGCCCUGUA
rnacentral:lncRNA from 1 species